GUGAACGCUGGCGGUAGGCCUAACACAUGCAAGUCGAACGGCAGCACAGAGGAGCUUGCUCCUUGGGUGGCGAGUGGCGGACGGGUGAGGAAUACAUCGGAAUCUACUCUUUCGUGGGGGAUAACGUAGGGAAACUUACGCUAAUACCGCAUACGACCUUCGGGUGAAAGCAGGGGAUCGCAAGACCUUGCGCGAUUGAAUGAGCCGAUGUCGGAUUAGCUAGUUGGCGGGGUAAAGGCCCACCAAGGCGACGAUCCGUAGCCGGUCGGAGAGGAUGAUCAGCCACACUGGAACUGAGACACGGUCCAGACUCCUACGGGAGGUAGCAUUGGGGAAUAUUGGACAAUGGGCGCAAGCCUGAUCCAGCCAUACCGCGUGGGUGAAGAAGGCCUUCGGGUUGUAAAGCCCUUUUGUUGGGAAAGAAAAGCACACGGUUAAUACCCGAGUGUUCUGACGGUACCCAAAGAAUAAGCACCGGCUAACUUCGUGCCAGCCGCCGCCGUAA
rnacentral:rRNA from 1 species